rnacentral:tRNA from 1 species
CGGGGUGUAGCGCAGCUUGGUAGCGCGCCACGUUCGGGACGUGGAGGUCGCAAGUUCAAAUCUUGUCACCCCGACCA